GCGGAUGUAGUUCAGGGGUAGAACACAACCAUGCCACGGUUGAGAUGCGGGUACAACUUCCGCCAUUCGCUCCA
rnacentral:tRNA from 1 species